AUAUAGGGUGUGUGGAGGGAACGCGGGGAAGUGAAACAUCUCAGUACCCGUAGGAAGAGAAAAUAAGAAUGAUUCCGGGAGUAGUGGCGAGCGAAACUGGAUGAGCCUAAACCGUGUGCGUGUCAAGCGUGCUGGUGUUGCGUACAUGGUGUUGUGGGGUGUGUGUGUUCGGUUCAGCAUGACCGAGACGCUGAUGAGUGCUUACGUGUAGUCGAAGCUGGUGGGAAACAGUACCGGAGUGGGUGAGAGUCCCGUAGACGAAACGCGUGGCCCCGGUGUGACACGUGUCCCCGAGUAGCACGGAACUCGUGGAAUUCCGUGUGAAUCUGCCAGGACCACCUGGUAAGGCUAAAUACUUCCUGAUGACCGAUAGCGGAUCAGUACCGUGAGGGAAUGGUGAAAAGUACCCCGGGAGGGGAGUGAAAGAGUACCUGAAACCAUGUGCUUACAAUCCGUCAGAGCACCCGUGUUGGUGUGAUGGCGUGCCUUUUGAAGAAUGAGCCUGCGAGUUAGCGGUGCGUGGCGAGGUUAACC
rnacentral:rRNA from 1 species